AGGAGGGAGGCGGCUUGUACACAAUGACGCCAGUAUUGGCGCAGGCCUCUAUAGGAUACCACCCUUGUAGUACUGGGACUCUAACCAUAGGCCAUGAAUCUGGUCUUGGGACACUGUCAGGUGGGCAGUUUGACUGGGGCGGUCGCCUCCCAAAAGGUAACGGGGGCGCUCAAAGGUUCUCUCAGUACGGUCGGAAAUCGUACGUAGAGUGUAAAGGCAAAAGAGAGCUUGAUUGCAAGACAUACAGGUCGAGCAAGGAUGAAAAUCGGACUUAGUGAUCCGGUGGUUCUGCGUGGAAGGGCCAUCGCUCAACGGAUAAAAGCUACCCUGGGGAUAACAGGCUUAUCUCCCCCAAGAGUCCACAUCGACGGGGAGGUUUGGCACCUCGAUGUCGGCUCAUCACAUCCUGGGGCUGUAGUAGGUCCCAAGGGUUGGGCUGUUCGC
rnacentral:rRNA from 1 species